rnacentral:rRNA from 1 species
UACGUAGGGUGCAAGCGUUGUCCGGAAUUAUUGGGCGUAAAGAGCUCGUAGGCGGUUCGUUAUGUCGGAUGUGAAAGCCCUUGGCUUAACCGAGGAAGUGCAUCCGAAACUGGCGAGCUAGAGUACGAAAGAGGAUCGCGGAAUUCCCGGUGUAGAGGUGAAAUUCGUAGAUAUCGGGAGGAACACCGGUGGCGAAGGCGGCGAUCUGGGUCGAUACUGACGCUGAGGUGCGAAAGCGUGGGGAGCAAACAGG